rnacentral:rRNA from 1 species
AUUGGAAGGGGUGUAUUUAUUAGAUAAAAAACCAACGCCCUUCGGGGCUUCUUGGUGAUUCAUGAUAACUUCACGGAUCGCAUGGCCUUGCGCCGGCGACGGUUCAUUCAAAUUUCUGCCCUAUCAACUUUCGAUGGUAAGGUAUUGGCUUACCAUGGUUUCAACGGGUAACGGGGAAUUAGGGUUCGAUUCCGGAGAGGGAGCCUGAGAAACGGCUACCACAUCCAAGGAAGGCAGCAGGCGCGCAAAUUACCCAAUCCCGACACGGGGAGGUAGUGACAAUAAAUACUGAUACAGGGCUCUUUUGGGUCUUGUAAUUGGAAUGAGUACAAUUUAAACCUCUUAACGAGGAACAAUUGGAGGGCAAGUCUGGUGCCAGCAGCCGCGGUAAUUCCAGCUCCAAUAGCGUAUAUUAAAGUUGUUGCAGUUAAAAAGCUCGUAGUUGAAACUUGGGCCUGGCUGGCAGGUCCGCCUCACCGCGUGUACUUGUCCGGCCGGGCCUUUCCUUCUGGAGAACCUCAUGCCCUUCACUGGGUGUGCUGGGGAACCAGGACUUUUAC